rnacentral:rRNA from 1 species
GUCUAUCUGAAGAUAUAAAUAGUCAGGCCUGCUCACUGAAUAGUUUUUUAAGAGCCGCGGUAUACUGACCGUGCUAAGGUAGCAUAAUCAUUAGCUUUUUAAUUGGAAGCUGGAAUGAAGGGUUAGACAAAAAGAAACCUGUCUUAAUUUUAGUAUUAAAAUUUAAUCUUUAAGUGAAAAAGCUUAAAUAACUUAGGAAGACGAUAAGACCCUAUAAAGCUUUAUUUGAGUGAUUGUGCUAACUGAAUUAACAAUAAAAGCUUAAACAGACUCUUGAAUUAUAUUGGGGCGAUAAAAGCAUAAAUUAUCUAACUGCUUAUGGUUGACACAUAAAUAAAUGGAUUAAAUAUAACAGAUCCUCAUUAGAGAUUUAAAGAACAAGUUACUUUAGGGAUAACAGCGUUAUUUUUUUUAAGAGCCCAUAUCGAAAAAAAAGUUUGCGACCUCGAUGUUGAAUUAAAAGAUCUAUAUAAUGCAGAAGUUAUAUAAGAAGGUCUGUUCGACCUUUAAAUUUUU